rnacentral:rRNA from 1 species
UACGUAGGGGGCAAGCGUUGUCCGGAAUCAUUGGGCGUAAAGCGCGUGUAGGCGGUUCGGUAAGUCGGCUGUGAAAGUCCAGGGCUCAACCCUGGGAUGCCGGUCGAUACUGCCGGACUAGAGUUCGGAAGAGGCGAGUGGAAUUCCCGGUGUAGCGGUGAAAUGCGCAGAUAUCGGGAGGAACACCAAUGGCGAAGGCAGCUCGCUGGGACGUUACUGACGCUGAGACGCGAAAGCGUGGGGAGCGAACCGG